rnacentral:rRNA from 1 species
UACGUAGGGGGCAAGCGUUGUCCGGAUUUAUUGGGCGUAAAGAGCGUGUAGGCGGCCAGGUAGGUCGGUUGUGAAAACUAGAGGCUCAACCUCUAGACGUCGACCGAAACCAUCUGGCUAGAGUCCGGAAGAGGAGAGUGGAAUUCCUGGUGUAGCGGUGAAAUGCGCAGAUAUCAGGAAGAACACCCGUGGCGAAGGCGGCUUCCUGGACCGAUUACUGACGCUGAGGCGCGAAAGCUAGGGGAGCAAACGGG